rnacentral:rRNA from 1 species
GGAGGAAAGCAGGGGAUCGCAAGACCUUGCGCUCAUUGAGCGGCCGAUGCCUGAUUAGCUAGUUGGUGAGGUAAAGGCUUACCAAGGCGACGAUCAGUAGCUGGUCUGAGAGGACGACCAACCACACUGGGACUGAGACACGGCCCAGACUCCUACGGGAGGCAGCAGUGGGGAAUUUUGGACAAUGGGGGUAACCCUGAUCCAGCCAUGCCGCGUGAGUGAAGAAGGCCUUCGGGUUGUAAAGCUCUUUCAGCCGGAACGAAACAGUCACGGAUAAUACCCGUGACUACUGACGGUACCGGAAGAAGAAGCACCGGCUAACUACGUGCCAGCAGCCGCGGUAAUACGUAGGGUGCGAGCGUUAAUCGGAAUUACUGGGCGUAAAGCGUGCGCAGGCGGUUUU